UAAAAGCUUGGUUCUAGCUUAAACCUUAAUUCCUUAUCUUAUGCCACAUGUAAGUUAAAAACGCCCCAGUGAAUAAAACACUUUAUAACAAUAAACACUACCUACACACCCCCUUUCACGACCUCAGUGCUUAACAUUAUCUAAUCUAAGAAACUAGGAAAUAGAAAGAAAAGAACAAAGGUGGUUAAUAACGUGCCAGCAACCGCGGUUACACGUUAACCUUAAAUUAAAGUAUCCGGUCAAAAAAAAGAAAGAUAAAUAAAAAAUUUUUUAAAAAAAACAUCAGCAGUAAUAAGCUAAAAAAUAAAAAAUAAAAAAUAAUCUUCCACCUAAAAAGAAAAAACAUAAACUGGGAUUAGAUACCCCACUAUACCUUAACCAAAACACCAAUCAAAAACCAGAGCAGUAAAGCCAAAAGCCGAAACUUUAAGAACUUGGCAGUUUCCUAAACCUUUUUAGAGGAGCUUGUUGUUUAAUCGAUACCCCACGAGAAACCUCACUAUUCCCUCCUAGAACUCCAGCCUGUAUACCAUCGUCGCCAGCCUACCUUAAAGAAAGUAGACUUAAAGGAAACCCACAACCUAAACGUCAGAUCAAGGUGCAGCCCAUGGAAUAGGAACUAAUGAGCUACCAUACUUAACAACAGAGGAUCUUAUUAUAAAAUAAAUAAAAGAAAAAGGAUUUAAUAGUAUCAACUUAAAGAAAAAAAUUGAGAAAAAAGCUCUAGGAAAUGCACACAUCGCCCGUCACUCUCCUCAAAAGAAGAGAAAAGUCGUAACAAAGUAGGUGUACCGGAAGGUGCUACCUAGACCAAA
rnacentral:ncRNA from 1 species